AGAGUUUGAUCCUGGCUCAGGACGAACGCUGGCGGCGUGCCUAAUACAUGCAAGUCGAACGCUUCUUUUUCCACCGGAGCUUGCUCCACCGGAAAAAGAGGAGUGGCGAACGGGUGAGUAACACGUGGGUAACCUGCCCAUCAGAAGGGGAUAACACUUGGAAACAGGUGCUAAUACCGUAUAACAAUCGAAACCGCAUGGUUUUGAUUUGAAAGGCGCUUUACGGUGCCGCUGAUGGAUGGACCCGCGGUGCAUUAGCUAGUUGGUGAGGUAACGGCUCACCAAGGCCACGAUGCAUAGCCGACCUGAGAGGGUGAUCGGCCACAUUGGGACUGAGACACGGCCCAAACUCCUACGGGAGGCAGCAGUAGGGAAUCUUCGGCAAUGGACGAAAGUCUGACCGAGCAACGCCGCGUGAGUGAAGAAGGUUUUCGGAUCGUAAAACUCUGUUGUUAGAGAAGAACAAGGAUGAGAGUAACUGUUCAUCCCUUGACGGUAUCUAACCAGAAAGCCACGGCUAACUACGUGCCAGCAGCCGCGGUAAUACGUAGGUGGCAAGCGUUGUCCGGAUUUAUUGGGCGUAAAGCGAGCGCAGGCGGUUUCUUAAGUCUGAUGUGAAAGCCCCCGGCUCAACCGGGGAGGGUCAUUGGAAACUGGGAGACUUGAGUGCAGAAGAGGAGAGUGGAAUUCCAUGUGUAGCGGUGAAAUGCGUAGAUAUAUGGAGGAACACCAGUGGCGAAGGCGGCUCUCUGGUCUGUAACUGACGCUGAGGCUCGAAAGCGUGGGGAGCAAACAGGAUUAGAUACCCUGGUAGUCCACGCCGUAAACGAUGAGUGCUAAGUGUUGGAGGGUUUCCGCCCUUCAGUGCUGCAGCUAACGCAUUAAGCACUCCGCCUGGGGAGUACGACCGCAAGGUUGAAACUCAAAGGAAUUGACGGGGGCCCGCACAAGCGGUGGAGCAUGUGGUUUAAUUCGAAGCAACGCGAAGAACCUUACCAGGUCUUGACAUCCUUUGACCACUCUAGAGAUAGAGCUUCCCCUUCGGGGGCAAAGUGACAGGUGGUGCAUGGUUGUCGUCAGCUCGUGUCGUGAGAUGUUGGGU
rnacentral:rRNA from 1 species